GCUCCUUCCAGUUCACAACUCUGGGAAGACGCACGAAGAACUUCUUGCUUCAACAGUGAUUGAACGGAACUCUUCUGCCCGCCUCCCGCGCAAUACAACAUUCCGGAUUGAUAACGUAAUAAUUACGAGAACUGUUUUAGUAAAAUAAUCAAAGAAUCUCUAUAUUUGCACCGUUAAUUUUGAUAUAAAAAGAAAAUGGAGUCUCAGGUCCGCCAGAACUAUCACCACGAUUGCGAAGUUGCAAUCAACCGGAUGAUCAACAUGGAGAUGUUUGCCUCUUAUACUUACACUUCAAUGGCUUUCUAUUUCUCCCGUGACGAUGUGGCUCUGCCUGGCUUCGCGCAUUUCUUCAAGGGGAACAGCGACGAGGAGCGGGAGCACGCCGACAAGCAACUCUCCUUCCAGAUCAAGAGAGGUGGACGCAUUUUACUCCAGGACAUCAAGAAGCCAGAACGUGAUGAGUGGGGCAAUGGGCUGGAGGCCAUGCAGUGUGCUCUGCAGCUGGAGAAGAAUGUGAACCAGGCCCUGCUGGACCUGCACAAGAUUGCUUCUGACAAGGUUGACCCCCAUCUGUGUCACUUCCUGGAGACCCAUUACCUGAAUGAGCAGGUGGAGGCCAUUAAGAAGCUGGGAGACUACAUCACAAACCUCACCAAGAUGGAUGCUGUCAACAACAAGAUGGCAGAGUACCUGUUUGACAAGCACACCCUGGGAGGCCAGAGCUAAACCGCUUCCAUCCCCAGGCUACGGCCUCCAGCCUCAGACCAGGACUCCUGGCUUCUCUGAUAGAUUUAUAGGGAGGGGAGAGUGUUAAACUGGUGCAGUGCAACACUGCUGUGACAUUGAUGUUUUUGUUGACAACACUACUGUAUUUUGGAGGCAAGGCAUCUUGUAAAACAAUAAAAAAAUAUCACUAAAGUUUUUUUCUAAGUGUU